UUGUCCAGGCUGUCGUAGACGUUCGAAAGGAAGAUGGCAGUUUUGUUUAUAUUGCGGCACGACGUUACCAGUUUUAAAAGAUGAAUCAGAUGAAGUAGCGACUACAGAAAUGUCGUCGCUGGACAUUCAAGAUGAGAGCGAAUCCGAGGAUGGGCCGAGCGGAGCAGAAGCUAC